UGGGGAAUAUUGGACAAUGGACCAAGAGUCUGAUCCAGCAAUUCUGUGUGCACGAUGAAGUUUUUCGGAAUGUAAAGUGCUUUCAGUUGGGAAGAAAGAAAUGACGGUACCAACAGAAGAAGUGACGGCUAAAUACGUGCCAGCAGCCGCGGUAAUACGUAUGUCACAAGCGUUAUCCGGAUUUAUUGGGCGUAAAGUGCGUCUAGGUGGUUAUGUAAGUCUGAUGUGAAAAUGCAGGGCUCAACUCUGUAUUGCGUUGGAAACUGUAUAACUAGAGUACUGGAGAGGUAAGCGGAACUACAAGUGUAGAGGUGAAAUUCGUAGAUAUUUGUAGGAAUGCCGAUGGGGAAGCCAGCUUACUGGACAGAUACUGACGCUGAAGCGCGAAAGCGUGGGUAGCAAACAGGAUUAGAUACCCUGGUAGUCCAUGCCGUAAACGAUGAUUACUAGGUGUUGGGGGUCGAACCUCAGCGCCCAAGCAAACGCGAUAAGUAAUCCGCCUGGGGAGUACGUACGCAAGUAUG
rnacentral:rRNA from 1 species